rnacentral:rRNA from 1 species
GACGAACGCUGGCGGCGUGCCUAAUACAUGCAAGUAGAACGCACCGUUUAUACCGUAGCUUGCUACACCAUAUACUGUGAGUUGCGAACGGGUGAGUAACGCGUUGGCAACCUGCCUGGUAGCGGAGGAUAACUAUUGGACACGAUAGCUAAUACCGCAUAAUAUUGAUUAUUGCAUGAUAAUUAAUUGAAAUUUGUAAUUGAACCACUACCAGAUGGACCUGCGUUGUAUUGGCUAGUAGGGGAGGUAACGGCGCACCUAAGCGACGAUACAUAGCCGACUACAAAGGGGAAGCGGCAUCACUGGGAUUGGAACACGGCCCAGAACCCUGCGGGAGACAGCAGUAGGGGAUCUUCGGGAAUGGAAGAAAGUCUGACCGAGCAACGCCGCGUGAGAGAAUAAGGUUUUCGGAUCGUAAAGCUCUGUUGUGAGAGAAGGACGGAUGUGAGAGUGAAACGUGCACAUUGUGACGGUAUCUGAACAGAAAGGGACGGCUAACUACGUG